rnacentral:rRNA from 1 species
AGUGAACGCUGGCGGUAGGCCUAACACAUGCCAGUCGAACGGCAGCACAGUAAGAGCUUGCUCUUACGGGUGGCGAGUGGCGGACGGGUGAGGAAUAUAUCGGAAUCUACUUUUUCGUGGGGGAUCACGUAGGGAAACUUACGCUAAUACCGCAUACGACCUACGGGUGAAAGCAGGGGAUCUUCGGACCUUGCGCGAUUGAAUGAGCCGAUGUCGGAUUAGCUAGUUGGCGGGGUAAAGGCCCACCAAGGCGACGAUCCGUAGCUGGUCUGAGAGGAUGGUCAGCCACACUGGAACUGAGACACGGUCCAGACUCCUACGGGAGGCAGCAGUGGGGAAUAUUGGACAAUGGGCGCAAGCCUGAUCCAGCCAUACCGCGUGGGUGAAGAAGGCCUUCGGGUUGUAAAGCCCUUUUGUUGGGAAAGAAAAGCAGCAGGUUAAUACCCCGCUGUUCUGACGGUACCCAAAGAAUAAGCACCGGCUAACUUCGUG